rnacentral:rRNA from 1 species
GACGAACGCUGGCGGCGUGCCUAAUACAUGCAAGUCGUACGCAGUGGGGACGGGUGAGUAACACGUGGGUAACCUCCCCUCAGAGGGGAUAACACUUGGAAAAAGGUGCUAAACCUAUACUGCAGGAUGGACCCGCGGUGCAUUAGCUAGUGGGUGGGGUAACGGAUCACCAAGGCCACGAUGCAUAGCCGACCUGAGAGGGUGAUCGGCCACACUGGGACUGAGACACGGCCCAGACUCCGACGGGAGGCAGCAGUAGGGAAUCUUCGGCAAUGGACGAAAGUCUGACCGAGCAACGCCGCGUGAGUGAAGAAGGUUUUCGGAUCGUAAAACUCUGUUGUUAGAGAAGCGGUAUCUAACCAGAAAGCCACGGCUAACUACGUGCCAGCAGCCGCGGUAAUUC